rnacentral:lncRNA from 1 species
AGCCUGUGAAGUUCAUCAUCCAUCUUCUUUGAUUUCUUCGUUAGGCGACGAACUUUUCUUCUCAGAUCUCAGAUCAUAGACUUCAAAAGAAUCCCCUGUGGUAGGGGAAGAGCUUCAGCAGGGCACUGUUGUUGGGAAACAAGAGCGUCACAACGUAAAUCAUUGCAAAAAAAAAAGAAAAAGAAAGUAGAAGAAGAAAAAGGAGCU